rnacentral:rRNA from 1 species
AGUGAACGCUGGCGGUAGGCCUAACACAUGCAAGUCGAACGGCAGCACAGUAAGAGCUUGCUCUUACGGGUGGCGAGUGGCGGACGGGUGAGGAAUACAUCGGAAUCUACUUUUUCGUGGGGGAUAACGUAGGGAAACUUACGCUCAUACCGCAUACGACCUACGGGUGAAAGCAGGGGAUCUUCGGACCUUGCGCGAUUGAAUGAGCCGAUGUCGGAUUAGCUAGUUGGCGGGGUAAAGGCCCACCAAGGCGACGAUCCGUAGCUGGUCUGAGAGGAGGGUCAGCCACACUGGAACGGAGACACGGUCCAGACUCCUACGGGAGGGAGCAGUGGGGAAUAUUGGACAAUGGGCGCAAGCCUGACCCAGCCAUACCGCGUGGGUGAAGAAGGCCUUCGGGUUGUAAAGCCCUUUUGUUGGGAAAGAAAAGCAGCAGGUUAAUACCCCGCUGUUCUGACGGUACCCAAAGAAUAAGCACCGGCUAACUUCGUG